rnacentral:rRNA from 1 species
CCUCGGGAGGCAGCAGUGGGGAAUCUUGCACAAUGGAGGAAACUCUGAUGCAGCGAUGCCGCGUGAGUGAAGAAGGCCUUUGGGUUGUAAAGCUCUUUCGUCGGGGAAGAAAAUGACUGUACCCGAAUAAGAAGGUCCGGCUAACUUCGUGCCAGCAGCCGCGGUAAUACGAAGGGACCUAGCGUAGUUCGGAAUUACUGGGCUUAAAGAGUUCGUAGGUGGUUGAAAAAGUUAGUGGUGAAAUCCCAGAGCUUAACUCUGGAACUGCCAUUAAAACUUUUCAGCUAGAGUAUGAUAGAGGAAAGCAGAAUUUCUAGUGUAGAGGUGAAAUUCGUAGAUAUUAGAAAGAAUACCAAUUGCGAAGGCAGCUUUCUGGAUCAUUACUGACACUGAGGAACGAAAGCAUGGGUAGCGAAGAGGAUUAGAUACCCUCGUAGUCCAUGCCGUAAACGAUGUGUGUUAGACGUUGGAAAUUUAUUUUCAGUGUCGCAGCGAAAGCGAUAAACACACCGCCUGGGGAGUACGACCGCAAGGUUAAAACUCAAAUGAAUUGACGG